GGCCGCGGGAAUUCGAUUUCCGGUUGAUCCUGCCAGACCCGACUGCUAUCAGAGUGGGACUAAGCCAUGCGAGUCAACGUAGCAAUGCGUGGCGAACGGCUCAGUAACACGUAGUCAACAUGCCCAGGGGACGUGGAUAACCUCGGGAAACUGAGAUUAAACCGCGAUAGGUCAAGAUUUCUGGAAUGGAUCGUGUCUUAAAUCUACAUGGCCCCUGGAUUGGACUGCGGCCGAUCAGGCUGUUGGUGAGGUAAUGGCCCACCAAACCUAUAACCGGUACGGGCUCUGAGAGGAGAAGCCCGGAGAUGGGCACUGAGACAAGGGCCCAGGCCCUAUGGGGCGCAGCAGGCGCGAAACCUCUGCAAUGGGCGAAAGCCUGACAGGGUUACUCUGAGUGAUUUCCGCUAAGGAGAUCUUUUGGCAGCUCUAAAAAUGGUGCAGAAUAAGGGGUGGGCAAGUCUGGUGUCAGCCGCCGCGGUAAUACCAGCACCCCGAGUGGUCGGGACGAUUAUUGGGCCUAAAGCAUCCGUAGCCGGUUGUGCAAGUCCUCCGUUAAAUCCAGCCGCUCAACGGAUGGGCUGCGGAGGAUACUACAGGACUAGGAGGCGGGAGAGGCAAGCGGUACUUAGUGGGUAGGGGUAAAAUCCUUUGAUCCAUUGAAGACCACCAGUGGCGAAGGCGGCUUGCCAGAACGCGCUCGACGGUGAGGGAUGAAAGCUGGGGGAGCAAACCGGAUUAGAUACCCGGGUAGUCCCAGCUGUAAACGAUGCAGACUCGGUGAUGGGCUAGCCUCGUGUCAGCCCAGUGCCGCAGGGAAGCCGUUAAGUCUGCCGCCUGGGGAGUACGGUCGCAAGACUGAAACUUAAAGGAAUUGGCGGGGGAGCACCACAAGGGGUGAAGCCUGCGGUUCAAUUGGAUUCAACGCCGGAAAUCACUAGUGAAUUC
rnacentral:rRNA from 1 species